GGCUCCAUAGCGCAGUGUUUAGCACGUCUGCUUUACACGCAGAAGGUCCUGGGUUCCCACUCCAGGUGCAGCCA
rnacentral:tRNA from 1 species